GACGAACGCUGGCGGCGUGCUUAACACAUGCAAGUCGAACGGAAAGGCCCUGCUUUUGUGGGGUGCUCGAGUGGCGAACGGGUGAGUAACACGUGAGUAACCUGCCCUUGACUUUGGGAUAACUUCAGGAAACUGGGGCUAAUAUCGGAUAGGAGCUUCUGCUGCACGGUGGGGGUUGGAAAGUUUCGGCGGUUGGGGCUGGACUGGCGGCUUAUCAGCUUGUUGGGGGGGUAGUGACUUACCAAGGCUUUGACGGGUAGGCGGCCUGAGAGGGUGAACGGCCACAUUGGGACUGAGGUACGGCGCAGAAUGGUACGGGAGGCAGCAGUGGGGAAUAUUACACAAUGGGCGGAAGCCUGAUGCGGCAGCGCCGCGUGCGGGAUGACGGCCUUCGGGUUGUAAACCGCUUUCGCCUUUGACGAAGCGAGAGUGACGGUAAUGAGUAAAGAAGCACCGGCUAACUACGUG
rnacentral:rRNA from 1 species